rnacentral:rRNA from 1 species
GGUGACCCAGCAACGCCGCGUGGAGGAUGAAGGUCGUAAGAUUGUAAACUCCUGUUAGAGGGGAAGAAUAACUAAGUUUGGAGCUUAGUAUGACUGUACCCUCAGAGAAAGCCCCGGCUAACUACGUGCCAGCAGCCGCGGUAAAUG